GAGUGUUCUAUCACCCCUAACUGCAUCAUUUCCUCAAUUUCUUUCUGAAUAUUUUCUUUAACUGCUUCGGGUAUGCGAUAGGCGGUUUGGCGAAGGGGGGUCUGGUCUAGGGUUUCAACUUUGUGAGUGGUUAACGGACUGUACCCAGGUAGGUUGGAAAACGUGGCCCCCUUGUCCUGGAUUAGUCUUUGGAUCUGGGUUCGCUCCUAGGGGUCUAACCUUUCUCCUAAC